UACGAAGGGUGCUAGCGUUGUUCGGAUUUACUGGGCGUAAAGCGUGCGUAGGUGGCUUUACAAGUCAGGGGUGAAAUCCUGGGGCUCAACCCCAGAAUUGCCUUUGAAACUGUAGAGCUAGAGUAUCGGAGGGGAUAGCGGAGUUGCUAAUGUAGAGGUGAAAUUCGUAGAUAUUAGCAGGAACACCGGUGGCGAAGGCGGCUAUCUGGACGAUUACUGACACUCUGGCACGAAAGCGUGGGGAUCAAACAGG
rnacentral:rRNA from 1 species